CGCUUGGGGCGCUCGGGACCGCAGGAGAAGUGCCACCGGCAGCUGUCAUUGGUUUGGCCAUUUGUAUGGCAUUUGUGUCUGAGUUCGGCCUUAUUUGGCUGUGCCAUAUCUGGGAGCAUAAAAACUAUUUUUCAUGAAGUUAUUAUUAGAAUUGGCAACUGUCCCAUUGUUGGUGUCCACACAUUUGCGUUCACAAGUACACACUUGGCCUGUUUGUACCUGACAUGAAACACAGCUUUGCAUCUCACAGGUAUGCUCAUUUAUGAAGGUAAGUACAAAAAUCUGAAUUUUUCCUGUAUUACACUGAGCCCCCAAUAUAUUUUGCAAUUGCACUUUCCUCUGUAUUUUUUCAUGCUGAUGUCACUGGCAGUGACAUGCUCUGUGCUAAGUGCUGGAUUGGAUGGUUGGCUGGGAGAUGCCUUUAGUUUUAUGGCACACAGGGGCCUAAGGAGGGUGUGCGGGUGUCCCUGUGCUCUGGCACCAGCUGAGGUGCAGGAGCACUUCCAGGGCUGCCUCCAGGCAUGAUGAGCUGGAGGCUGGAGUUAAAGCUGUGCCUUCUGCUGACCAGCUGAUACCACCUCUGACCGUGAACAGCUGGGCCUGAUAUAAUAAAUAGAGCUUUCUUCCUUUCUUACUAAGAGCCAGAGUCUGAUAAAAUGGAUUCUUCAUCCUGCUCUGACCAGUGAAUACCAGGGUUCAUUUCCACAAAUUUCCUGCUUUAUCUGCUUUGUACCUGCCAGCUACAUGAGCCAUAAUGUCCUGCUACUCAGCUUCCUUGAGAGAAGCAAGCAUUUCUUUGGAAAAGAGCUCUUCACUAACAGUUGGACUCACAAGUGGCUCAUUGAUGUCCCUCUAAUUCCCAAGUUGUUCCACAUCUACAGCUGCCUUUUAGGGAUGGACCCUGAUGCUCCUCUGAUUUCUGUGGGAUCUUCUUUGCCUAACACUUUCAAGAAUGAGCUAGAAGAGGCAAGUCGAGGUUCAAGGGAAGGACUUGUGUUUCCUACUUCAUCCUGGGUCAUUUAAUUUGAAAAGUUUUAGACUUUGAUUUUCAACAGUGAAUUGUCAUCGGCCCAGACUUCAAAAUCUCUAGCACAUUCAUGUUUUCAACAUUAAAGUUUUUACACGCUAAAACAGUACUUUUUACUGAAUUUGAGUAAAAAAUUAAAUGGGUGAAGAUCCCUCCACUUAGUGUUUUGCUUAGUGAAAAUUCCAUAUUGAUACAGAAUAAAGUGGAUUUAUUUGGAUACUCCUGAAAACACCCUGCCUUCCUUCUCCCCUUCCUUUGCUCAGUGCAAGGAAUAGCAACAUUUCUUAUGUCAUAUAUGUUUGCCACUUUGCCAAACAUUUUGGAACAAGCAAAACUGAGUGACGCCUUUUUUCACCAAAACAUGCAAGCACUUGUGCGAAUGUUUCAAAUUUCCAAAAGUCAAGCUAAGGCUAUCAUCAGUACUUGCCCUGACUGUCAGCUUGUGUAGCCUCCUGUUUCUACAGGAGCAGUCAACCCACGAUGUUUGCAAAGCCUGCAGUUAUGGCAAACAGAUAUCACUAAAUACCCUUCCUUUGGUAAAUUUAAAAAUAUUCAUGUUUCAGUAGACAUGUUCUCUGGUGCAAUUUUUGCUUCUCUUCACACAGGUGAAAUAAGUAAUAAUGUAAUGAGACUGAUGCUGAAAAAUAAACAGCUCAACGCACUUUCCCAGCAGCCCCAUCUUGUUCAUAGUCUGUAAAUAAACCCCCUCGCCAGUGUAAGUUUGAAGAUCAUACAUUUAGUAAUGCAAGGUAGUUAAAAUCAUCUGUUCUGGAAUCCCUUCCCAACUUCAAAACCCACACACCUAAUUUUUUCCUCCAGCUACAGCAAACCUAGACAUCUUUCCCCUGCUUUCUCUAUUGUAAUUGACUAGUCCUUUCUCUCUUUCAUCACUGAUUUGGUCAAAUAAAACUAAAAUGCUUUGAUCGCUUAAAGCAUAGUGAUCUAGUCAGCAUAUUUCCUAUUUUCCCAUUUAUUAGGCAACAAGACUUAAUUCUGACAGGUAAUAAAUACAUGCAGUGAGGGGUGGUCUUAAUUUAGGAGUCUGGCUAGCAGGAGGGGCAACCAACAACCCACUGCAACAGGACGAGCGCCCCUCGCCAUCUAUGGCCUCAGGCUGCACUCGUGGCAGACGGAUUCGCUGCUGAUGAGACAGAAGAGUCUGGACACUCACUGGGGACUGUGGGAUUUAUUGUAGAACCCAACGUGUCAACCAGGGAGUGACCCGGAACAAGGGGUGCAAUAGGGUUAUAAAGGGGGGAGGAAUUCCAAUAGGGGAAGGUAAAGGAGCGGGCUUAAGAUGAUAGGCAUAAGGGUAGAACCAAUAGAUACAAUGUAAGGGA